GACGAACGCUGGCGGCGUGCUUAACACAUGCAAGUCGAACGGAAAGACCCUGCUUUUGUGGGGUGCUCGAGUGGCGAACGGGUGAGUAACACGUGAGUAACCUGCCCUUGACUUUGGGAUAACUUCAGGAAACUGGGGCUAAUACCGGAUAGGAGCUCCUGCUGCAUGGUGGGGGUUGGAAAGUUUCGGCGGUUGGGGAUGGACUCGCGGCUUAUCAGCUUGUUGGUGGGGUAGUGGCUUACCAAGGCUUUGACGGGUAGCCGGCCUGAGAGGGUGACCGGCCACAUUGGGACUGAGAUACGGCCCAGACUCCUACGGGAGGCAGCAGUGGGGAAUAUUGCACAAUGGGCGGAAGCCUGAUGCAGCAACGCCGCGUGCGGGAUGACGGCCUUCGGGUUGUAAACCGCUUUCGCCUGUGACGAAGCGUGAGUGACGGUAUGGGUAAAGAAGCACCGGCUAACUACGUG
rnacentral:rRNA from 1 species